rnacentral:rRNA from 1 species
AACGGCGAGUGAAGAGGGAAGAGCCCAAGAUUGAAAGCUGGCGCCUUCGGCGUCCGCAUUGUAAUCUCAAGAAGUGUUUUCCGCUUCGGACCAUGCCUAAGUCCCUUGGAAAAGGGCAUCAUAGAGGGUGAUAAUCCCGUACAUGGCAUGGAGCGCCCGAAGCUUUGUGAUACGCUUUCUAAGAGUCGAGUUGUUUGGGAAUGCAGCUCAAAAUGGGUGGUAAAUGCCAUCUAAGGCUAAAUAUUGGGGAGAGACCGAUAGCGAACAAGUACAGUGAUGGAAAGAUGAAAAGAACUUUGAAAAGAGAGUUAAACAGUACGUGAAAUUGCCAAAAGGGAAGGGUAGGAGGUCAGAGAUGCGUCGCAGGAUUCAGCCUUGCUUUUGCUUGGUGUUUUUCCUGCGUUGCAGGCCAACGUCGGUUUUGGGCACUGGAGAAGGGUAGGAGGAACGUGGCACCUCUCGGGGUGUGUUAUAGCCUCCUACUGGAUACAGCGACCGAGACCGAGGAACGCAGCGUACUCGUAAGAGCGGGCCUUUUGGCACCUUUACGCUUAGGGCGUUGGCAUAAUGGCCCUCUACCACCCGUCUUGAAA